rnacentral:rRNA from 1 species
UACGGAGGGGGGCUAGCGUUGUUCGGAAUUACUGGGCGUAAAGCGCACGUAGGCGGCGACUCAAGUCAGAGGUGAAAGCCCGGGGCUCAACCCCGGAACUGCCUUUGAAACUAGGUUGCUAGAAUCUUGGAGAGGUCAGUGGAAUUCCGAGUGUAGAGGUGAAAUUCGUAGAUAUUCGGAAGAACACCAGUGGCGAAGGCGGCCAACUGGACCAACACUGACGCUGAGGCGCGAAAGCGUGGGGAGCAAAC